rnacentral:tRNA from 1 species
CCGACAAGUUCCGGGUUCGAGUCCCGGGCAACCCA